CCCUUAGAUGUUCUGGGCUGCACGCGCGCUACACUGAUGCAUGCAACGAGUUUUCGACCUUGCCUGAAAAGGUUGGGUAAUCUGUUUAACAUGUGUCGUGAUGGGGAUAGACCAUUGCAAUUAUUGAUCUUCAACGAGGAAUUCCUAGUAAGCGCGAGUCAUCAGCUCGUGCUGAUUAUGUCCCUGCCCUUUGUACACACCGCCCGUCGCUCCUACCGAUUGAGUGGUCCGGUGAAUGAUUCGGACCAGCGUGCUGCUCAGAUCCUGCGCAGUGUGCUGGGAAGUCUAGUGAACCUUAUCACUUAGAGGAAGGAGAAGUCGUAACA
rnacentral:rRNA from 1 species